AGGUGGGGAGCAGGGGUGGUAAGAGGCCCUUCUGGAAAAAGGAAGUAGGCUGCCCCCAUCUCAGGAAGCUUCUGGCAGCCUGCAGCCCCCAAGAGAGGACAGAGAGGGCAGCAGGCAGUGGGGGCUGGGGAACAGAAUGGCCUUGGGUGAAGGAGGAGUGGGGGAAGGUACCAGGUAGAAAGAGCAACAGAGCUCCCACCCCCAGGAGCACGAGGCCUGGAAGUCCUAAUCCCAUCCUGGCUCUUCGUCCCACCUGCCAUGUUCAUGGGGCCAGGCCUGAACCUCUUGGCACCUGUUUUUUCCCUGUGAGGUUCAUGCGGCCACAGCCACGAUGUCAUCGCCUGCUGUUCCAAUUACCCUCAGCCAGCGAGCAAGUGUCCCUGCCGCCCCUCCCCCCAGCCCCAGCCAGGGCUGCUGGGGCAGGCUGGUGGCCGCUGCCUUUAGGGUCCACAGACGCUAGCCGCAGCAUUGAGCUCCCUACACAGCCCCACAGAGGUACCGGGGUCCCCCCUCAGUUCCUUCCGCCAUGCUCACUCUGUUUCAGACCAUCCUCUUCUUCAGCUCUCAGAGAACGUCAUUUUUACCGGGAAGAUCGAAGCCUUGGUUCUGGAGCUUCCUCAGCCUCCUGCCCUCCUCCCCUCUGGGAAGUGCCCCUGUUCUAUUCUGCACCUUCCAGCGUCUUUCCGGGCUUCUUCCCCCCUCAAGUUUCCCGGGCGUUGAGGAGGGCUGGCCGCCGCCUCGCCAAGCCCCGAGCUGAACCCGCUGAUGCCCAGGCCACCCGCUUGUGUCUUGAUCGCCGACUUGAGCUCGUGAUUCUCCCGAAUGAGCUGUACCAGCUUCUUCAGCUCCUCAUUCUCCCGCACCAGCCUCUCGAUCUGAUGCCGAAGCCCCUCAUAAUUGGACAUCCCAUCCUCCGGCGUGGGAAAACGAGCCUCUCACGGCCUUCCGGGUCUCCUGUACCAUCCGGCCUGGCCUCGCUGUUGGCCUCUCCUGGGGUUGAUGCAUCUGGGCUGGUGAAAUUGAUGGUUCAGCAUGGCUGGGUGCCCACGUGCUUGGUCAAACCCUGGUUCAGAUAUUGUUGUGAAAGUAUUUUGUAGUGUGAUUAACAUCUACAGUCGUUGAUUUUAAGUCAAGGAGGUCACCUUCAAUCCUGUGGGCAGACCUCAUCUAAUCAGCUGAAGGCCUGAAGAGCAGAAGGCUGGGGUUUUCCAGGAAAAGAGGAUGUUGGCCUCAGUGCUGUCCCGGAGGCCCUGCCUGAGCGUCCAGGCCACUGGCCUGUGGAUGUGGACAAUUGUAGGAACCAGUUCCUUAAAAUAAGUCUCUUCAUGCCCGAGAAAUCUGACUGAUGUGCCAUCUGCAUUGGGUACCAGCGCUUCCGUCCUCCCAAAACUGUGUUCGGAGCCCCAGCUAGUGGCAGCCCUGUGUUGGAAUCACAAUAUUGUACACCUGAACUAGCCGCACACUGUAUGUUAACCAC